rnacentral:rRNA from 1 species
UUCCGGUUGAUCCCGCCGGAGGUUACUGCUAUCGAGGUUCGACUAAGCCAUGCGAGUCGAAUGUAGCAAUACAUGGCGAACUGCUCAGUAACACGUGGACAACCUGCCCUUAGGUUGGGUAUAAACCCGGGAAACUGGGUAUAAUACCCGAUAGGUCUCGAUUGCUGGAAUGCAUCGAGAUUUAAAGCUCCGGCGCCUAAGGAUGGGUCUGCGGCCUAUCAGGUAGUAGUGGGUGUAGCGUACCUACUAGCCUACGACGGGUACGGGUUGUGAGAGCAAGAGCCCGGAGAUGGAUUCUGAGACACGAAUCCAGGCCCUACGGGGUGCAGCAGGCGCGAAAACUUUACAAUGCUGGCAACAGCGAUAAGGGAACCUCGAGUGCCAGGUUACAAAUCUGGCUGUCGAGAUGCCUAAAAAGCAUUUCAUAGCAAGGGCCGGGCAAGACCGGUGCCAGCCGCCGCGGUAACACCGGCGGCUCGAGUGGUAACCGUUAUUAUUGGGUCUAAAGGGUCUGUAGCCGGCCGGAUAAGUCUCUUGAGAAAUCUGGCAGCUUAACUGUCAGGCUUUCAGGAGAUACUGUCUGGCUCGAGGCCGGGAGAGGUGAGAGGUACUUCAGGGGUAGGGGUGAAAUCUUGUAAUCCUUGAAGGACCACCAGUGGCGAAGGCGUCUCACCAGAACGGACCUGACGGCAAGGGACGAAAGCUAGGGGCACGAACCGGAUUAGAUACCCGGGUAGUCCUAGCCGUAAACGAUACUCGCUAGGUGUCGGCCACGGUGCGACCGUUGUCGGUGCCGUAGGGAAGCCGUGAAGCGAGCCACCUGGGAAGUACGGCCGCAAGGCUGAAACUUAAAGGAAUUGGCGGGGGAGCGCCACAACGGGUGGAGCUUGCGGUUUAAUUGGAGUCAACGCCGGG